rnacentral:rRNA from 1 species
UCGGACGGCAGCACAGAGAAGCUUGCUUCUUGGGUGGCGAGUGGCGAACGGGUGAGUAACAUAUCGGAACGUACCGAGUAGUGGGGGAUAACUGAUCGAAAGAUCAGCUAAUACCGCGUACGUCUUGAGAGGGAAAGCAGGGGACCUUCGGGCCUUGCGCUAUUCGAGCGGCCGAUAUCUGAUUAGCUAGUUGGUGGGGUAAAGGCCUACCAAGGCGACGAUCAGUAGCGGGUCUGAGAGGAUGAUCCGCCACACUGGGACUGAGACACGGCCCAGACUCCUACGGGAGGCAGCAGUNGGGAAUUUUGGACAAUGGGCGCAAGCUCGAUCCAGCCAUGCCGCGUGUCUCAAGAAGGCCUUCGGGUUGUAAAGGACUUUUGUCAGGGAAGAAAAGGCUGUUGCUAAUAUCAGCGGCUGAUGACGGUACCUGAAGAAUAAGCACCGGCUAACUACGUGCCAGCAGCCGCGGUAAUACGUAGGGUGCGAGCGUUAAUCGGAAUUACUGGGCGUAAAGCGAGCCCAGACGGUUACUUAAGCAGGAUGUGAAAUCCCCGGGCUCAACCUGGGAACUGCGUUCUGAACUGGGUGACUAGAGUGUGUCAGAGGGAGGUAGAAUUCCACGUGUAGCAGUGAAAUGCGUAGAGAUGUGGAGGAAUACCGAUGGCGAAGGCAGCCUCCUGGGAUAACACUGACGUUCAUGCUCGAAAGCGUGGGUAGCAAACAGGAUUAGAUACCCUGGUAGUCCACGCCCUAAACGAUGUCAAUUAGCUGUUGGGCAACUUGAUUGUUCAGUAGC